AAGUCGUAACAAGGUUUCCGUAGGUGAACCUGCGGAAGGAUCAUUACCGAGUUUUCGGGCUUCGGCUCGACUCUCCCACCCUUUGUGAACGUACCUCUGUUGCUUUGGCGGCUUCGGCCGCCAAAGGACCUUCAAACUCCAGUCAGUAAACGCAGACGUCUGAUAAACAAGUUAAUAAACUAAAACUUUCAACAACGGAUCUCUUGGUUCUG
rnacentral:misc_RNA from 1 species